GACGAACGCUGGCGGCGUGCUUAACACAUGCAAGUCGAACGGAAAGGCCCUGCUUUUGUGGGGUGCUCGAGGGGCGAACGGGUGAGUAACACGUGAGUAACCUGCCCUUGACUUUGGGAUAACUUCAGGAAACUGGGGCUAAUACCGGAUAGGAGCUCCUGCUGCAUGGUGGGGGUUGGAAAGUUUCGGCGGUUGGGGAUGGACUCGCGGCUUAUCAGCUUGUUGGUGGGGUAGUGGCUUACCAAGGCUUUGACGGGUAGCCGGCCUGAGCGGGUGACCGGCCACAUUGGGCCUGGGAUACGGCCCAGACUACUACGGGAGGCAGCGGUGGGGAGGAUUGCACAAUGGGCGGAAGCCUGAUGCAGCAACGCCGCGUGCGGGAUGACGGCCUUCGGGUUGUAAACCGAUUUCGCCUGUGACGAAGCGUGAGUGACGGUAAUGGGUAAAGAAGCACCGGCUAACUCCGUG
rnacentral:rRNA from 1 species